UACGGAGGAUGCAAGCGUUAUCCGGAUUUAUUGGGUUUAAAGGGUGCGCAGGCGGAAAGAUAAGUCAGUGGUGAAAUCCUACGGCCUAACUGUAGAACUGCCAUUGAAACUGCCUUUCUUGAGUAUAGUUGAAGUGGGCGGAAUGUGUCAUGUAGCGGUGAAAUGCAUAGAUAUGACACAGAACACCGAUAGCGAAGGCAGCUCACUAAACUAAAACUGACGCUCAUGCACGAAAGCGUGGGGAGCAAACAGG
rnacentral:rRNA from 1 species